UGAGCUCACCACGCAAGUCUCCUCCCUGGUGUGCCCUUCCCCGAGCAGAUGCCAGGUUGGGACAGAAGCAGCUCAGGGAGAGGCGAUGCUUUGCCAGGACUCCUGGUUUGCAGAGUCUCACUCUGUCACCCAGACUGGAGUGCAAUGGUGUGAUCUCAGCUCAUUGCAACCUCUGCCUCCCGGGUUCAAGAGAUUCUCCUGCCUCUGCCUCCCAAGUGGCUGGGAUUACAGGUGCAGCUUGGAGGAAACUUCUGGAGGGUGGGGUGGUGCUGAAGAGGAGGCAACAUUGUUACCGUUUUGUUCAACAUGGGUGUUUUCUUUAUGCAUCAAUUUGUAUUUUUAAAGAUAUUACAUUAAAAUUUUGUUUAUCUUGAUUACUGAGUUUUUUUGGUGCCCCUUUAAAUUCUCUAUCCAUAGUCCUGAGCCUUGAUACAAAGUGAGGACCUGGCCUCUGGACAUCAAGCAGCCAGAAAUUCCCUUAGGAGCUUUCUCUGAAUUGUUGAAUUGUGAGUGAUAUUUUCCUUUCCUGAAUUCCCUAAUAUCCACAAUUUCCUCGUAAUCAUCCCUCCAAAGCCACACCCACAAGGCACCUCUGAGACCUAUCAUGAAGCAAAUAUUCAAAAAGUAUUUGUAAAUCUUCACACACCACCCCCGCCACAAUGUCUUCCAACAUCACUUUGCCUAGAGAAUUAAAAAACAAGAUUUGCAUGUUAAGUAUCAGCCUCUCCCAUUGGGUGGGUGUUUAGGAAGGAGGAUCAGCCAAGAGUCUUAUUCCAGCCCAGGUAAAUGACCUUGCCAAAGAUUUAAUAUCCACAAAUGUGGAAUCCUUGUAACAGAACUCAGUGGGAACCAAAGUCAGGCAUGGGCCUGGGCUUUAAGGAGCACAACCGAAAAGGAAGGACUAGAAAACUUCAGAAAGGUACUGGUGGGGGUGGAGGGGUCGGGGGACGGGGGACAGUGAGGAUGUGGGAUCCUGAGAUAAUCCAAAUCCCUAUGUGUAGACGUAUGUGUACAAAGGCUGUAAAGAGAGACCCAGGCUGAUGGGGUAUCUGUAAUCAAACAUAAUGUGACAGCAGGUCAAGUGAUAAGGGGACUCUGGAAAAACAGAACAAGCAGCAAAAUGAGCAGUAUCAAACUCCACAGAAGUUAACCAACACCAAGACACUAAGAAAGCUACAUUCAUUUAAAUCAAGGUGACAAGCUGGGCGCGGUAGCUCACGCCUGUAAUCCUAGCACUUUGGGAGGCCGAGGCGGGCAGAUCAUUUGAGGUUCAAGACCAACCUGGCCAACAUGGUGAAAGCUCGUCUGUAGUAAAAAUACAAAAAUUAGCUGGGCAUGGUAGUGGGUGCCUGUAAUCCCAGCUACUCAAGAGACUGAGGCAGUGCAGGGCGCCGUGGCUCACGCCUGUAAUCCCAGGACAUGGGGAGGCCAAGGCGGGCAGAUCAUGAGGUCAG
rnacentral:lncRNA from 1 species